rnacentral:rRNA from 1 species
AGAGUUUGAUCCUGGCUCAGGACGAACGCUGGCGGCGCGCCUAACACAUGCAAGUCGAACGAGAGAUGAGGAGCUUGCUCUUCAAAUCGAGUGGCGAACGGGUGAGUAACGCGUGAGGAACCUGCCUCAAAGAGGGGGACAACAGUUGGAAACGACUGCUAAUACCGCAUAAGCCCACAGGUCGGCAUCGACCAGAGGGAAAAGGAGCAAUCCGCUUUGAGAUGGCCUCGCGUCCGAUUAGCUAGUUGGUGAGGUAAUGGCCCACCAAGGCGACGAUCGGUAGCCGGACUGAGAGGUUGAACGGCCACAUUGGGACUGAGACACGGCCCAGACUCCUACGGGAGGCAGCAGUGGGGAAUAUUGCACAAUGGGGGAAACCCUGAUGCAGCGACGCCGCGUGGAGGAAGAAGGUCUUCGGAUUGUAAACUCCUGUUGUUGAGGAAGAUAAUGACGGUACUCAACAAGGAAGUGACGGCUAACUACGUGCCAGCAGCCGCGGUAAAACGUAGGUCACAAGCGUUGUCCGGAAUUACUGGGUGUAAAGGGAGCGCAGGCGGGAGAACAAGUUGGAAGUGAAAUCCAUGGGCUCAACCCAUGAACUGCUUUCAAAACUGUUUUUCUUGAGUAGUGCAGAGGUAGGCGGAAUUCCCGGUGUAGCGGUGGAAUGCGUAGAUAUCGGGAGGAACACCAGUGGCGAAGGCGGCCUACUGGGCACCAACUGACGCUGAGGCUCGAAAGUGUGGGUAGCAAACAGGAUUAGAUACCCUGGUAGUCCACACCGUAAACGAUGAUUACUAGGUGUUGGAGGAUUGACCCCUUCAGUGCCGCAGUUAACACAAUAAGUAAUCCACCUGGGGAGUACGACCGCAAGGUUGAAACUCAAAGGAAUUGACGGGGGCCCGCACAAGCAGUGGAGUAUGUGGUUUAAUUCGACGCAACGCGAAGAACCUUACCAAGUCUUGACAU